GCACUGGCCGACUCUAGCCAGGAUCCAUCUUGUUCUGUAUCUGUUGUUUCACUGCUUGAAGAUGCUUUGAAGUGCCCUUCAGACAGACUGCGAAAAGGCCAGGCACUUAACAAUCUUGGAAGUGUAUAUGUAGACAGCGGGAAAUUAGAUUUGGCAGCUGAUUGCUACAUAAAUGCCCUUAAAAUCAGGCACACUAGAGCUCACCAGGGUCUUGCACGAGUCCAUUUUCUCAGAAAUGACAAGGCUGCUGCAUAUGAGGAAAUGACAAAACUGAUUGAGAAGGCCCGGAAUAAUG
rnacentral:misc_RNA from 1 species